GAUGAAGAACGUAGCGAAAUGCGAUAAGUAAUGUGAAUUGCAGAAUUCAGUGAAUCAUCGAAUCUUUGAACGCACCUUGCGCCCCUUGGCCAUUCCGAAGGGCAUGCCUGUUUGAGUAUCAUGAACACCUCAACUCUCAUGGCUCGCCAUGAUGAGCUUGGAUUUGGGGGUCUUGCUGGCCUGUGGUCGGCUCCUCUCAAAUGGAUCAGCUUGCCAGUGUUUGGUGGCAUCACAGGUGUGAUAACUAUCUGCGCUUGUGGUUUUCCAUCAGAUAACCUUCAGUGAUGGAGGUUCGCUGGAGCUCAUAAACGUCUCCCCUAAGCGGGGACAGCCCUUUGAAUGUUUGAUCUCAAAUCAGGUAGGACUACCCGCUGAACUUAAGCAUAUCAAUAAGCGGAGGA
rnacentral:misc_RNA from 1 species